rnacentral:misc_RNA from 1 species
UUUCCGUAGGUGAACCUGCGGAAGGAUCAUUAACAAAUCUGUGCAUGUUGCGUGCGUUUUGUUUGCACGUGACACCAUUUGUUCCGUGUGCAUGCUGUGCACAUUGCGACACAUUUCUGCGAGUCAUCUGAUUUUGGGUGUUUGAACGCGAUCAACUUUUAACAAUGGAUCUCUAGGCUCUUGCAUCGAUGGAGAACGCAGC